CUUAAGAAAAUCAUUGUCAUGUAAUCUGAUAUAUCAUUAGGUUAUUUGUAAUACUGCUGCAAUUUCUUAUAUAGUUACAAUAAUUUAAUGUGUAGGUGACAAGGCUUUGGAGCCAUGGUUUUCUUAGGUAGCUUUAUUAGGGCAUCGAACUAUUUGGUGCUACAAUUGUUGUAAAUGUCUAACUUUGUAAGAUAUUCAUCAUUGGUUCAUCAUAGUAUGCUUUCUUCUGUGCCUUGUUUCACAGGCUUGCUCUCACUGCUGCUCUAGACAGGGAACGUUGAUGACAACAUACAGGUAACUCUUUCGAAAUCAUGGAUAGCAUAAAUAUACAGUUGUAUGAUUAAAUUUGAGGUUAUUUCUUAAACCGGCAUAUACUUUCCUUGCAUUGAGAGCACAAUUUAUAAUCAAAUGGAAACGGCAUACCUUUCUUUACUUGGAAGUUGGAACAUGGCAUCCAGCGGAGGAAGAUGAGUACCAUAUAUGUAUAUCAGUUUAUCGCGAGCUCUAAAAAGGUUUUCGUCUAUUGCUUUCGCACAUCAGGCUUUUUCCUGAUUGUCGCCAGUACAAAAAGAGCUUGCUGACAUGUAUAGAAGAAUGGAAUACACGUUCUUGAAAUGAAGCAACUUAUUAAACAAAACCAUGGCGAUGUGUACUCCUUGCCGCUGAUUUAUUGAGAUCCAGCUGAAAAUAAGGGGAAAACAAACAUCAUCCUGCCAUUAAGUUAUCUCAUAUUUAUGGAGAAAAGUUACACAGUUAGCUAUUGCAAAAAUACUAAAAUUCAUGUAUGUAUCCGGCUUCAUUAUGGAGUUGAGAACGAAAUCAUUGGAAUUCUUAUGUUGAGAAAAGGCCAAUGGAAUAUUAUUAUUAUGUGUUACAAAGUUCAUACAAAGAAUAUAUAUUGUAGUGCUCUAAAUAUAAAUUAAAAUAUUACUAGGGUCCUUGGUUAAUGCAUUGUUUUUUCUUUUCCAUCCAGAAUGAUAUUAGAAGAUAAGGAAUUAGUAUGAGAUGCUUUAGGGGGUUAAACAAUUGGAUAAGAUUAAAUACAUGUUGUGCCGAAUUGGCAGUCCUUCGUCCGUAUUUUCUUGAUAAUGAUGCACCAUUUGGUGACAGGUUCUCUACAAAACUUAAAUUUACACUAGAAAUUAUUUGUUUUUAUGACACACAGCCGUGUAGCUGUGAUCUUAGAGUUAAGAUAUAAUGGAAAAGGGAUCUGAAAUGUGGUUUGUAUGACCGAAAACAUUCUUCACAUAUGGUUAGUUAUGACCGAAGACAGUGUGCUGUUUUUUAUUCCAUGCUCCAAAUAUUUCAUGUCCGAUUCAUAGACAUCCUUGAAUUGCUUAACGAUGAUGGCAUGUUUGGUGUUCAUAUUUUUGUCAGCCAAAUAAUAAUAGGUGCACUUGAUUGUUUGAGGAAAUGCCAACUGAAAGCUAAAUUCAGUUAGAAUUAGAUUUGUGCACGUGUGUUCUUGAUGCUUCAUGUACGACCAGUUCUCUCGAAUAAUGAGUUACUCCCUUAAUUUUACAAUAGAGAUAAUUUGUCAAAAUUGUGUUUUUGUGAACAUGCAUAGGGCCUCUCAGUCUUUAACCCUGACUAUAAAAAUCCAUUGAUGGAAGCCGGGGAGGGCCGAGAUGAACAUCCGGCUCCUGGGUCUAAGCCAUCGAGAUGAUAGAGACGAUGUUUCCAUGUCAUCUACUCCAGCAGCCGGACAAGGCAUAUAAAAACCAUGGAUCCUUGCUCCCCAGGCCGCAAAAUGAUCGCAGUGAUAUCUACGACCUCCUCCUAGGUGUAUUAAUCUCAAUCUCAUGUUUGGUUUUCUUCCCUUUUCUCUUCUAAUGAUGUAAUUUCUUUUACUAAGAUAACACCAUGUUUGUUGUAAUGCCUUAUUUGAUGUAAGAUCCCUUUUCUACUUUGAAUGAAUUUACUGCAUAUAUUUCUUAUUUAGUUUA